AUGAGUUUGGUAACACUUCCGUUAAACUUUAAUUUAGCAUUUUUUUAUCUUAAACUUUCAGAAUUAUUAUAAUUAAAUUUUACAAUUUAAUUUAGUUAACUAAAUAGUGAUGUAUCACUGAUAUAAAAGAUGUGAAAAAUCUUAAACAUUGGUACAUUAUUAAUCACAACAUUGCUAUAUUAUUUCUAUACUGGUGAUACUUCAAUAUUUAAUCAACUAAAUUGGAUUAUAAAAUUUAAUUAUAAUAGUUUUAAAAAUUUAAACAAAAAUAUAAUAAAUUAAAAUUUGAAAAAUAAAGUAUCACGUGCCGUAUAGGAUGAGGAC
rnacentral:lncRNA from 1 species